ACGGGUGAGUAACACGUGGGAACCUUCCUAGAGGUACGGAACAACGCAGGGAAACUUGCGCUAAUACCGUAUGUGCUCUUGCGAGGAAAGAUUUAUCGCCUUUAGACGGGCCCGCGUCGGAUUAGCUAGUUGGUGGGGUAAUGGCCUACCAAGGCAACGAUCCGUAGCUGAUCUGAGAGGAUGAUCAGCCACACUGGAACUGAGACACGGUCCAGACUCCUACGGGAGGCAGCAGUGGGGAAUCUUGGACAAUGGGCGCAAGCCUGAUCCAGCCAUGCCGCGUGAGUGAAGAAGGCCUUCGGGUUGUAAAGCUCUUUUGUCAGGGACGAUAAUGACGGUACCUGAAGAAUAAGCCCCGGCAAACUUCGUGCCAGCAGCCGCGGUAAUACGAAGGGGGCUAGCGUUGUUCGGAUUUACUGGGCGUAAAGCGCACGUAGGUGGAUAGUUAAGUGAGGGGUGAAAUCCCGAGGCUCAACCUCGGAACUGCCUUUCAUACUGGCUAUCUUGAGUUCGGAAGAGGUGAGUGGAAUUCCUAGUGUAGAGGUGAAAUUCGUAGA
rnacentral:rRNA from 1 species